rnacentral:rRNA from 1 species
UACGUAGGGUGCAAGCGUUAAUCGGAAUUACUGGGCGUAAAGCGUGCGUAGGCGGUUUGGCAAGUCAGGUGUGAAAUCCCAGGGCUUAACCUUGGAAUUGCACUUGUGACUGUGCGGCUGGAGUGCGGCAGAGGGGGAUGGAAUUCCGCGUGUAGCAGUGAAAUGCGUAGAUAUGCGGAGGAACACCGAUGGCGAAGGCAGCCCCCUGGGCCUGCACUGACGCUCAUGCACGAAAGCGUGGGGAGCAAACAGG